rnacentral:lncRNA from 1 species
GAAAGAUGUUGAAAAAAUUCAAAAAGAAUUUUAACAUGACAAGAAUUGGUAAGGAUGAUCAACUAAACAGCAGAAAAAUGUGACAAGAGAUUGCCACAGUCCAAGAAAGGAAGAAGGCUGAAGAAAUCAAGGGGAGUAGCUACAAAAGCAUUUUCCGAAGGAUAGGAGAAGCAAAGGAGGUGCCUCAGUGAACAAGAGGCAAAUGAAUUGACAAGGUUGGUUUUAGCUCUUCUUGAACUUUUUUCUAUACCCAGCUCCCCAACACAGCUCUAUGCUGAUUUUCCUUCUACUUCUUUGAGGUCUCUUUCACCUUCUUCACUGUAUCAUCUUCCUUUUCCCAACC